AGAUUUUCCAGGCAAGUUAAACUCAUCUAAUCUGAUUCGAACUUAUAAUAAAACUUCCACAGGUUCAACAAGACUAAAAAUAAACUCAAAGAAAUGAUGUAAGUACAUACUCAAUAAUCCCCUCCAUAUGGUAACUCAACAGUAAAAUGGAGGUUCACGCCUCAACCAUUAAACACAAUCACAGAAGAGAUAAAGAUGAAGAGAUGGGCCUUAAUUACAUGAAUCAUAUACAAGUCUCUAUCUAUUAGGAACCACACACCAUCUAAAUCAAAUCCCACAUAAUAUUAGCUAGACAAAGAAAGAGUUACAUGAAUUAAUUAAAAACAUGAGAGCUACUUUAUUGAAAUAACACAGCUAUAUCAACCUAAAUCGUUCACAUCUUCUGCUGCUCAAAGUUUCAGAGUAGUACCUGAAUACAGCAAUCAACAACAAAAGAAAAUGUGUUUAGGAUCAACAAAAGUGAGAGAUUCAGCAGCAGCAGCAGCAGUAUGUCAACACUUCAACACAUCAAUUUCAACUUCCUUAGACCCAAAUGAACCAGAACUUUUUUGUGUAUUUUCAGAGUAUGAAUGGCCGCUCAAAAUGAAAGGAAAGAGGUUUUUAUAUAGGCAUGCCUAAGGCAGCCCUAGCCUAGCUAACCAUUUCCCCUUUACCCCUUGAAUUCUUGGUUGUUUUACCCCUUUUAACCCUUCAAAAUAUCUGAAACCCCCCUUCUUUUAACAAACCAACUCUAAACUUAUCCUCUAGAAGCUUCCUCCCAACAGAAAAUGAUUCCCUACCCUCAAAUACCUAAAACAUCCUUGACACCCUUGCAAUUUAUAUUCAAGAAAUCAACAUGGGUCAAAUUUGACCCCAAGACCCCAAACCAAAAACUUGGGCUUGUCUGGCCCAACGGGACUGAACCAAUCAACCCAAAAGAAAACUUAGGCAUCAAAAUCUGAGUGUUAACCUUAAGACUUACUGAUUUCAAUUAAACAAACGAUAUUAAAUUAAUUAAAGCAAAUUGUGGCUGACCUUGAACUAAGACAUGUUGAAAAUGUAUCAAUGAUUAACUAAUUCGAACAAACUGGAUAACAACAACUAAUCAGGGCAAAUAAAUAACACAAACAAAUUCAGAUGAACAACUUUAAAAUUGAAAGAAAAAACCAUAAAACAAACGGAACAAAAGCAAACCAUAGAAAAUCAAAGAGAAUAAAUGACGAAUUGGCUAAGUCCAAACAUUAUUCCUUCAUUACUUUUUUCGGCCAGAAGAAGAGGAACAUGAAGAAACUGAUUAAAGAAAUGUGGAAGAAAAGGAAAGAAAAUAGAAGGAGAAUCACAGAAAUGGGUAGAGGGAAAAAGAAGAGAAAAUACCUAGUGAUUAACUUGAAGAAACUCCGGCUUCUUCGAUUCAAACCCAAAACUAAUGUUAGUCGCAUGUUCUUUGUCAAGAACAAACGACCAACAUCAAUUUCACAUUAAAUCAGCCCUGGUACUUAAAGGCUUGACUCUUAACUUUGCACACUACAGAUCUAAAGUCAGGGUAAAUUUGGGGCUUUAACGUUUCGGGGUAUUGAUUUUAGAUCUAAAAUUCGAGAAGAUUGAGAGGGAUUCGAGGGACAGGGUUAGGUAUUGUGAGAGAGGAGGUUACAGGGAUUCUAGGGUGUAAUUUUGGGGCAGAUUAGGGCUACGCCGCCGGCGGAGAUAGUGGAGAACUUUAGGGUGGCGCUAGGGUUUUCAGUCUCUGAGCAUAGAGACGAGGAAUGAAGGGGGAGUGUAAUGGGGGGGCUUUGGUUCCGACACUUAAAUACCGACGGGAGCCUUAGUUCCCAACCAUUU
rnacentral:lncRNA from 1 species